ensembl:lncRNA
CAACUAAGGAGCAUUUUUCUUGGUGCUUAGGCUUGCAGUGUCUGGGCUCAGCCUCAUCAGCCUCUCAGGUGGUGCUCAUCUCCUGGAGGGCUGGGGUUGUGCCACUGCUCCCGGCUCCAUCCCUGCUCGCCUGGUGCUGAGGGCACCACAAAUAUUUCACCUUCCUCAGCAGAAGCAGCUCAGGCCUUGCACUAGGGCAGAAAAAAAUACAGUACACAAAUAGAAAAAUGAAAAAGGUAAAAGAUGAAGUGAUAAAAAAGGAGACCAAGUCUUCCGCUGAGGCCCUAGUCAGCAUUUGGUCAGUGAAGAUGUGGUGCAAGGACGAGAAAUUUCAUUUUCUGAUUUCUGUUAACAGCUUACAAGGGACAAUGUUUGUUUCUGUUUCUGCUGGGACAGGCGUUGAAGCUGGAUGUUGCCCGCUCUAGCCUUGCAUUCAGACUUGGCACACCGUGGGUGCCCGGGUGCUGAGCUCCUGGCCGCCCUCCCCACGCGCGAGGUCUCGGUGCGCCUCCCCUGCCGCAGCGCUGCAGGCAACAGCCACAAAUGGCUCGUGUCGCACGGCAUUUCGGUGCAUUGUGUGCAGGUUGUACACGUGGAGAUGCUUUGUCUGUGAAUCCCUUGAACUCCCAGGGGCAGCAGAGGCUUUCCGUGUCUCAGGGAUGCUCUGGAACUGCAUCAGCUCUUCUGGAGGAACGGGCUCCCUGGAGCAGACUGCUGCCAAGAACAGCAGUUCUCUGCUGUACGCUUUGCACCGAAAAUGUCCACCCGCCUCACACCAGUGCAUUGAAAUGCAGCGCAACAAGGCAGGUUCCCAGAAGGACUCAGUGCAAACAGCCCGGCAGUUCAAAGCCAAAGACGACAUCAGCCUGCUUUCUGCAGAGGCAUCGGGAUGAAGUACCAGCAGGUGACCACAGCGUAGUGCAGUCAGAUCAGCAGACGUUUCUCCUGAAUGAAGGAAUGCCAAUUAAAAAUCCACCCAAAGGAGUGAGGACCUGGCAGCCCUGUUCUGCAGGACCAGAGCACACAAAAACCUCACUCAUUUUCCGGUGAGGUUGGCCUCAACUAAGAAAAUUGUAACACGAAGGAGAAUACAAAUACACCUGGAUGAAGUGAUGGGCUGUCUGUUAGUGCACGGUAAGACCCGAAUACUCAGACUCCACCUGAUUGUAAAGCACAGAGCAAACUGUCAUCCCUCUGGGAUCUGAGAGUGGUACCUGACCCACUUGGCUCUUCUUGCCUGCAGAGGAUUUCUGUGGGCUAGCUAAGCCUCUUUGCUGGUGACCUGCAAAGCAAGGAGACAUCUGAACUUCACUAGAAAGAGGUAGACGAUCCUUUGUCAGUGUGAACACCACGCUGUUCUUCCUUCCAGCUCGUUUUUCUGCCCAACCGUAGAAAAAACCAAACUAUUCCCACAGCAUUUGACAUUCCUGCUAGACCGUCAGCUCACUCUGGUCAGUUAAAAUACAUUUGUCUUUUCAUUAGCUUAAACUUACAGGAAGAAAAACCUUUUUGUGAAGCCAGGAGGUGUUUGCAAACAGCAGGAUUCCAGCGACUAGCUCCUGCAGGCUCCCGAGACCCGUGUGCUUUCUCCUCUUUACUUUCAGGUCUGAAAAUGACAGGAAGGUCAGCGUGACCGUGGCUCAAAGAUUGGGACCACAAAUUUGACGAAUGUUGCAGCCUCACAUGAUUUUACUUCCUUGAAUAAUUUUUUAUUUUCAACAAUACCGCUGCUUGAGGAGGAGGUUGACCCAUGGAGCCCUUCUAAAAGACACUCUGAUAACUCAUGCUUUUUCACUUCAGCAGUGCUAUUUGUUUGUGUGCUUGACAUUUGUCCUAUAGCUUUGUGCCACCUACUACAGCUCCUUCUGAUUGAAUCACUGCUUCCGUUAUUAUUUUUCCGUUCCUUGACUUUUUUCCAGUGAACUGAAAAUAUUCUCAUUCUUGUUUGCUAUUGAUCAGAUAAUCCACAGGUCUGAGCUGGUCUGACAUAGCCCAGACUGCGAUUUGAUGUAUUAGAAGAUGAGUACGUACAUGGAGUGGUUUAUGCUUU